UCCACAUGUGAAUUUGGACACAGCAGAUGAAAACAUUCAGUCCAUAGCAAAUGCUUUUUGUUUAUUUCCAAGUUUCAGGUAAUUUUCUUAACUCUCCAAACACUCCAGCCUCAUAAAUGGAAACUACUAUCUGUUCCACUUAAAGGUGAAGAAAUUAAGACACUGGAAAGAAACAGUUGGGAGGGAAGAUUUUGAAGGAAGGAUGCUCUGAGCAAACACAAGGGACUUAAGUACAACGUAAGAGAUUCGAGGUCAGAGAUGGUCAGAGUUUAUGAGUGAAGAAGAGAUGAAACAGGAGCUCCACAGGCAACCCCCCAAGGAAUUUUCCUGACUAUGAAAUGGCAGGGAUCUUACCAAGAGAAGACAGGACACUUUCUGCAUUUGAACUGGAACAGCCUUACAUGUGUCAAAAGAAAUUGACAGUGACCAAUAAAAAAGAAAAACAAUAAUUAACAAGAGAAAUACACUAGAAAUACACUAAAAGUUGUAGCUCUGUGAAAACAGGCUUACCAAAAUCUGCAAGUACUUCUAGCUCCAUUUAUUCUCUUGCUAAAUGGCCAUACUCCUAAGAAGAAUAACUCUUUAUAAGCUUUUUCAUCAGGAGUAGCUUAACAUGAGCGAAAAGUGAUUUAAAAAGAAGAAAGCCAAAAUGCCUUCACAAUGUUAAGAAAGAUUCCAAAAUCUGUCCAAAAGAGUACACCGAAUGCUUUUUUUUUUUUUUUUGUCUAUGGAAAAUUACUCGUCCUAUUUAUCCAUCUUGCAAAUCAGAAAAGUCCAGAGGAAGAAACAGGGCGUGAGAUGUGCCAAUUAGAAGGAAGCAGCCAAAGAGCAGUGGGAAGACAGAAAAGGCUGCUCUGUGUCACAAGGUACAGUUGCAGGACCCACGUCAGAAACACAACAAAACUUCCCUCUGAACUCAGCAUUCCCUGUCUCACCUAAAGUAUGAAUAAAACAUUGGGAACUA